AUUGAACGCUGGCGGCAGGCCAAACACAUGCAAGUCGAACGGUAACAGGAAACAGCUUGCCGUUUCGCUGACGAGUGGCGGACGGGUGAGUAAUGUCUGGGAAACUGCCUGAUGGAGGGGGAUAACUACUGGAAACGGUAGCUAAUACCGCAUAACGUCGCAAGACCAAAGAGGGGGACCUUCGGGCCUCUUGCCAUCGGAUGUGCCCAGAUGGGAUUAGCUAGUAGGUGGGGUAACGGCUCACCUAGGCGACGAUCCCUAGCUGGUCUGAGAGGAUGACCAGCCACACUGGAACUGAGACACGGUCCAGACUCCUACGGGAGGCAGCAGUGGGGAAUAUUGCACAAUGGGCGCAAGCCUGAUGCAGCCAUGCCGCGUGUAUGAAGAAGGCCUUCGGGUUGUAAAGUACUUUCAGCGGGGAGGAAGGGAGUAAAGUUAAUACCUUUGCUCAUUGACGUUACCCGCAGAAGAAGCACCGGCUAACUCCGUGCCAGCAGCCGCGGUAA
rnacentral:rRNA from 1 species